rnacentral:rRNA from 1 species
GGUUAAGCGACUAAGCGUACACGGUGGAUGCCCUGGCAGUCAGAGGCGAUGAAGGACGUGCUAAUCUGCGAAAAGCGACGGCGAGGUGAUAUGAACCUUUGA